rnacentral:rRNA from 1 species
UACGUGGGGGGCAAGCGUUGUCCGGAUUUAUUGGGCGUAAAGAGCUCGUAGGCGGUUUGUCGCGUCUGCCGUGAAAGUCCGGGGCUCAACUCCGGAUCUGCGGUGGGUACGGGCAGACUAGAGUGAUGUAGGGGAGACUGGAAUUCCUGGUGUAGCGGUGAAAUGCGCAGAUAUCAGGAGGAACACCGAUGGCGAAGGCAGGUCUCUGGGCAUUAACUGACGCUGAGGAGCGAAAGCAUGGGGGAGCGAACAGG